rnacentral:lncRNA from 10 species
CUAAUUUGGAAUUUCGAAUUCCCUGUCCUGUGCACUCUUCCCAUGGCAAUGUGUUUUCUCUGCUGCCCCUCCUCACACACACACACACACACUCAUGUGCAUGUGCACACACCAAGGAAAAAGAUUGAAGGUGCCUAAUCUGUUGCAAAACAAACCUAAAAGCUAUUUAUGUUUUUCUGUAUUAAUACAGAGGAGCAAUUGCUUGAAAACCUGUGAUAGCAAAACUGUACAAGUGGGAGAUUAUUUCAUUUCCAAGAUAUAACCAAUCAUGCUGUCCCCAGAACCGCCCGAGAAGAAAUCUGAGAUUGGGAAAUCUGAGAACAGGCACACGGCUCGAAUUAUCAGAAAAGUCGCUGAGAUAAGACAUGCAUGAUCUCCUUCCUAAAGAGGACAAGAAUGACAGCCACAUCAUCUGGAGAAGGCAGCCAGGGAAGUACUCAAGAGAAAACACUUCUGUGGGUGACUUGAAGAAGCUGGUCACCAUAUGGUUGUGGACCAAGCUUCACUUUUUUGCAGCUUUCUGUUCCAACAAGUUACUCCCCCCAGAUCCCACCUAUUUUAAAAGCAACUCCCAGAGAAAGAAAGGCUUGACAGCCAACAGAUGACCACCACAUUCUCUCCCACAAGUCGUCUGAUUUCAAAAGUUGCAUGUGGAUUGAUACAGAGGCCACACGUAACACUUCCAAGGUCAUAGUUAAAAGAACUGAGAAUGGAACUCAAGUCUGUCUGCAUUCAACAGCUAUACUCUUUCCACAACAUUUUGCUACUUGGAUAAAUUAACUUAAUGAAUAUUUAUUGAACUCGCACUAUGUACUAGGCAAUGGGUAAAUACGGUUCUGAAAGCAAGGGCUUACUGCUGACCAGGACCUUCAAUGUUCCCCUAGUUUGGACCUUGUUUACAGAUAAAAGACAUUAAGAGGAUUCCCUUCCUAAGAGUCAGCCUGGUUUGUUACUCUGCCUGCAUUAAUGAGCUCAAUUACUGUAAUACCAGGAGACUCAGCUGUAUUCACAACUCCCACCAUAUCAAGUAACCCCAAAUGAUAUUGUGAAAUGCAUCUUGUUUUUCCUCUUUUCCUUGUAUCUUACCAGUAGGGAAAUAAUAGUAUUAGAAAAUCCAUUUUGCCAUUCAUCUCUUCCUGUAUCUCAUCAGCAGGGGAGGAAUCAAAGUAAAUGGUAGUGGCCCAGAGGCAGCA